rnacentral:rRNA from 1 species
UACAGAGGUCCCGAGCGUUGUUCGGAUUCACUGGGCGUAAAGGGUGCGUAGGUGGUGGGAUAAGUCGGAUGUGAAAUCUCGGAGCUCAACUCCGAAACUGCAUUGGAAACUGUCGUGCUAGAGGUUUGGAGGGGGGACUGGAAUACUUGGUGUAGCAGUGAAAUGCGUAGAUAUCAAGUGGAACACCGGUGGCGAAGGCGAGUCCCUGGACAACACCUGACACUGAGGCACGAAAGCUAGGGGAGCAAACAGG